UACGUAGGUGGCAAGCGUUGUCCGGAAUCACUGGGCGUAAAGCGCGCGCAGGCGGCGAUCUACGUCUGGGGUGAAAGCCCGGAGCUCAACUCUGGGACUGCCUUGGAUACGGGAUCGCUUGAGGAUUGGAGAGGCAAGGGGAAUUCCACGUGUAGCGGUGAAAUGCGUAGAUAUGUGGAGGAACACCUGUGGCGAAGGCGCCUUGCUGGCCAAUUUCUGACGCUGAGGCGCGAAAGCGUGGGGAGCAAACAGG
rnacentral:rRNA from 1 species